rnacentral:rRNA from 1 species
UACGUAGGGUGCGAGCGUUGUCCGGAAUUAUUGGGCGUAAAGGGCUCGUAGGCGGUCUGUCACGUCGGGAGUGAAAGCCCGGGGCUUAACCCCGGGUCUGCGUUCGAUACGGGCUAGCUAGAGUGUGGUAGGGGAGAUCGGAAUUCCUGGUGUAGCGGUGAAAUGCGCAGAUAUCAGGAGGAACACCGGUGGCGAAGGCGGAUCUCUGGGCCAUUACUGACGCUGAGGAGCGAAAGCGUGGGGAGCGAACAGG